GCCACAACAGCUCUGAGCCACUGAGGCAGGCACUUCACCGGACCUCUGAAGGGGACCUCGGUCGGCACCACCAUCCUGGACCCACCCAGAUGCAGCUCAGCCCCAAUCGGUAUUCACAGCAAAUAAUACAGAACGAUAAAGCAAUUAUGUCUGACAGUAAAUCUCCUGUGGGAUCAGACCAGACAGGCUAACCUUCACUCCCCAUGCACAUCAAUGAGCUUUGGGCACCCAAGACCUCAUCGCCAAUUCACUUCCUUGGACCACCUCUGGUAUCACUGACCACAGCAUACUGGUAACACCCCACAAGCUCAGCAGAAACCAGCAUGUACAUGUAGCACUGCAAAGAGGUUCUCCUGAGUGGCCGCUGAUUCCAUUCUGCACAGAUGAGGUCAUUGGAAGAACCUUUAAUUAACAUAAUAAUACAAGGGAUUGGGGACUCUUCUUUUUGUCACAGUGGAUAGUCGGGCCAGUCUAAGCUCAGUGUAGGAAGGUUACAAAUGAAAAAUGCUGUCUUCUCCAUUUUUUAUUUUUUUUUGCAGAAUACAGGCAGCAGAAUUAUAUAUGAGGGCAAAAGGAGUUCUUGAUCUCAUCAUAGAGGUGGGAGACAUCUGUGGACCUCCUCCUAAGCUUUGAUGAUCCACUGUCACAGAUUUUUUUAUGGCAAUUCACUCCUAGAAGAAAACGUACCGGGUCUCUUUCUGUUAUUGUUGAAAGGCAACAGAAAAAGCAAGACAACAAAUUUCCAUUUUCGCCUGCUGUCUGUGUUUUUACAAAACAGUCCCGCGCGCUCCGGCUCUCUGUCUGUCUUAUUAUGAAACAGACCCACAUUCUCCUAUUUUCUGACAUUGUUAUAAAACAAAGCCACGUUCUCUUUCCUCUCUCUGUACUAUCAUGAGACAAACCCAUGUUCUUCUAGUGUAUUAGGCAUCGAUUAAAAUGGAUUACAAAGUUUAGUGCUUUUAAUAUUUCUUUAAUGUUUCCCAGUUUCAAGGAGUUAUUUUUUGCAUCCAAAAACACUUCAUUUGCAUCUUUCCUCAAAAUUUGUGAUGCAACUUGUACAGUUAUAUUUGCAUGAAUUGGCAAAACUGCAAGUUUUAUGAUUUUUUAAAACUAAUACCAGUGAAGAAAGACACAUGACUAAUUACUUUAUUUGUAUAGUUAAUUUUCUAUCACAUAACCAAUCCCAUUUCAGUUCUCAUUUUUAUUUCUUUUUUGAAUUCAAGAACCAAGGCUUGGUUUACUGAACUGGACGCCUUUACUGGUGAUUGUUGAGUGCAGCGCCAUCUACUGGUUAUUGGAAAUUUGUACACCAGU